rnacentral:rRNA from 1 species
CCCUUAGAUGCUCUGGGCCGCACACGCGCUACACUGAAGGAGGCAGCGUGUACUCCUGGAUCGAAAGAUUUGGGUAACCCGCGAAUCUCCUUCGUGCUAGGGAUUGAGGUUUGCAAUUAUCCUUCAUGAACGAGGAAUUCCCAGUAAGUGCAAGUCAUAAGCUUGCGCUGACUACGUCCCUGCCCUUUGUACACACCGCCCGUCGCUACUACCGAUUGAAUGAUUUAGUGAGGACUUCGGACUGGGACCGAUGCGGCUUUCGGGCUGCGUCGGUAUUCUGGAAAGAUGUCCAAACUGUAUCAUUUAGAGGAAGUAAAANUCGUAACA